AACGAACGUUGGCGGCGUGGAUUAGGCAUGCAAGUCGAACGGACCUGGGGGCAACUCCAGGUUAGUGGCGAACGGGUGAGUAACGCGUGGGAAACGUGCCCUCGAGACGGGGAUAACACCUCCAACGGGGUGCUAAUACCGGAUAAGACCACGGGGCUGCAUGGCUCCGAGGUCAAAGGUGGCCUCUACUUGUAAGCUACCGCUUGAGGAUCGUCCCGCGUCCCAUUAGCUAGUUGGUAGGGUAAUGGCCUACCAAGGCGACGAUGGGUAGCUGGUCUGAGAGGAUGGUCAGCCACACUGGGACUGAGAUACGGCCCAGACUCCUACGGGAAG
rnacentral:rRNA from 1 species